CAGUAACGGCGAGUGAAGCGGCAACAGCUCAAAUUUGAAAUCUGGCUCCUUCGGGGUCCGAAUUGUAAUUUGUAGAGAGUGCUUCGGGCGAGACCUCGGUCUAAGUCCAUUGGAACAUGGUGUCAUAGAGGGUGAGAAUCCCGUAUGCGACCGUGGCUCGAGCCCAUGUGAAGCCUCUUCGACGAGUCGAGUUGUUUGGGAAUGCAGCUCAAAAUGGGUGGUAAAUUUCAUCUAAAGCUAAAUACUGGCUGGAGACCGAUAGCGCACAAGUAGAGUGAUCGAAAGAUGAAAAGCACUUUGGAAAGAGAGUCAAACAGUACGUGAAAUUGUUGAAAGGGAAGCGCUUGCAACCAGACCUGCCCGUAGGCGAUCAGCCGCUGUUCUCAGCGGUGUACUCGCUCUGCGAUCAGGCCAGCAUCGGUUUCGGCGGUCGGAUAAAGACCUUGGGAAUGUAGCUUCCCUUCGGGGAAGUCUUAUAGCCCUCGGUGUAAUGCGGCCAGCCGGGACCGAGGACCGCGCUUCGGCUAGGAUGCUGGCGUAAUGGUUGUAAGCGACCCGUCUUGAAACACGGACCAAGGAGUCUAACAUCUAUGCGAGUGUUUGGGUGUCAAACCCAUACGCGGAAUGAAAGUGAACGGAGGUGAGAACCCUUAAGGGCGCAUCAUCGACCGAUCCAGAUGUCUUCGGAUGGAUUUGAGUAUGAGCAUAGCUGUUGGGACCCGAAAGAUGGUGAACUAUGCCUGAAUAGGGUGAAGCCAGAGGAAACUCUGGUGGAGGCUCGCAGCGGUUCUGACGUGCAAAUCGAUCGUCAAAUUUGGGUAUAGGGGCGAAAGACUAAUC
rnacentral:rRNA from 11 species